AAAUAAAUCAAAAUGGGAAAGAAAAUGAUAAAAAAAUAAAAUAAAACAAAUGAAAUAAUAAAAAAGGCAUAUGCACACGCUGAGGGUUGAACCUCUGACCUUGGGGUCAUGGGGGGAUCAACCCCCUCACCCACUGGGCCAAGCGCUCGGUGGUGUUAAUAACCACACCGAAACAAAUAAAUAAUAAACAUGAUAAAUAAAUGGGAUUCACGCCCUAGCCCACCAAUCAGAACACGACAACAUAAACAUUUGAAUUCAAAAUCACGGGUACAAC
rnacentral:lncRNA from 1 species